rnacentral:lncRNA from 1 species
AGUUCAAUUUCGAGCUUAACUUGUUCACUUAAAUUAUUUAAUUUAUUGAUUAAUUUGUGGUUAAUUAAGUUAUAAUUCAGCUUGAAUUGAUUAGAGACACUCUAUGCCGUAAUAGUUUAAUUGCACUCCAAUUCAACAAUUUAAUUUUAAUUUUAUUUCAUGUGCAGGUUGAUGCCCGUACAAGCUCAAAUUGGGAGGAUAAUUCGCAUAAAUAAGGCUGCUGGAAGAGGGUGGUCAGAUGUUGAUUUAAAGAAAUUGAAUUGACAAUAAAACAAAGAAGGAAAUUCGGUCCAAAGUGGAUGUACAGCAGGCCGAAUGAAUUAAACAAAUAAAGGAGGAGCAGUCGGUCCAAUUGGAAGCCAAACAUGCGACAAACUUAAAAAGGGAAUUAUUAUUUCCUUCUUACCAAGCGGUGGCCGAUUUUAGUUCAAUCAAUUGGAAGCCAAAUCAGCUUUGAAGAGUUAAAUUAAAACUCUACUAAGCUGAAGCUAUUUUCAUGCGACGGGUGAGGCUAAGAAAAAGGGGAUAAGAUCAGAAUUAAUUUUGAAUUGUGGGAGGUUAUUAUCCCAUAAAUAGAGAUGACAGCAGCUGAAAAAGGGGGAGAGAAGAAACAGAGGAAAAUAUUCAGCAGCAUAGGAAAGGGGUGGUUCAAGUGAGCAGAAUUUUCUAAAAUUGGCCCAGCAAAUCCGAUCAAGGAGCUAGAGUAGCAGCUAGUAAAUUUGGCUAGUUGGGAGAAGGGAAAUCGGACGACUCGAAGAACUUUGCCUCCCAAGAAUUAGCUUGUAAUUCAUGUUCUUUUCAAUGGAUUCGUGUUCUACUUUGCUAGCUAUGAGAGGCUAGUUUAGUUAAGCUUAGUUCGACACUUCUGAAACCAGGCACAAGUACUUUGAAAAUUUUAUUUUGUUAUCAAAACAAAUUCGACACUCUUGAGUUGUGUGAUUUUAUUUUCAAAGGAAUUUUUCUAACUCAAUUGGAGUGAUCACCUAAUUAAUUUGGGAAUUUUUCUUAUAAUCAUUUAAGUGUAAGUUGAGAAAUCGAAUUUCUCAAUUGAACUCAGAAUUAGUGAUAAAUAAUUGGCCGCAGCUAAUUAAGACAACUUCGGAUUUAAUCUUAGAAGCCGCUGGUGGAUUUUCUUUGGUUAAGGCAAGGCGAAGUCUCUAAAUCUCUAAAAUUCCUUCAACAAAGUCGACACAAAGGUAAUUAAAGGAAGGUUUCAAUCAUGAACGUUCUCUAAUUGAAUAAUUUACUAUGGAUAGGAAAAUGCUUCGUAAGCGAUUUUUUCAGCCUUGCUGCUAAUUUGAUUUCUUAGCUUAAUUUCAGGUUGCAAAGGACUUGUGCUUGGUGGAUGAAGGAGUCGCCAACUAAGCAUUAUUUUUUUUCCUUUCGAAAUUUUCUCUUCAGCUGUUUUAAUUCGAGCCAAAGUUUAUUUAUUACUUGAGACUAUUUUUUUAGCAAUCAUAAAACAUAAACCCCCCCAUUUUUCCUUUGUUUUCUUUUCUUUCGCAUGCCUUUUAUAUUACUUUAAUUUUAAAUCACUUCAAAUAGAUUUGUUGCAAGCUUCCUCGUGGGACGAUUCCCUAUUUACCCUAUAUUACUAGUGAAUGUUGGUUGAGUAAGUGAAUUUAAUUUGGCAGACGUAAACGACAGCUACCAA